rnacentral:rRNA from 1 species
GAUGAACGCUGGCGGCGUGCCUAAUACAUGCAAGUCGAGCGAACAGAUGAGGAGCUUGCUCCUCUGACGUUAGCGGCGGACGGGUGAGUAACACGUGGAUAACCUACCUAUAAGACUGGGAUAACUUCGGGAAACCGGAGCUAAUACCGGAUAAUAUAUUGAACCGCAUGGUUCAAUAGUGGAAGACGGUUUUGCUGUCACUUAUAGAUGGAUCCGCGCAGCAUUAGCUAGUUGGUAAGGUAACGGCUUACCAAGGCAACGAGGCGUAGACGACCUGAGAGGGUGAUCGGCCACACUGGAACUGAGACACGGUCCAGACUCCGACGGGAAGCAGCAGUAGGGAAUCUUCCGCAAUGGGCGAAAGCCUGACGGAGCAACGCCGCGUGAGUGAUGAAGGUCUUCGGAUCGUAAAACUCUGUUAUUAGGGAAGAACAAAUGUGUAAGUAACUAUGCACGUCUUGACGGUACCUAAUCAGAAAGCCACGGCUAACUACGUG